rnacentral:rRNA from 1 species
AGAGUUUGAUCCUGGCUCAGGAUGAACGCUAGCGGCAGGCCUAAUACAUGCAAGUCGAACGGAGCAGCAAUGCUUAGUGGCGCACGGGUGCGUAACGCGUAUGCAACCUACCUAUCAGUGGGGAAUAGCCCGGGGAAACCCGGAUUAAUACCGCAUAAGAUCAAAGAGUGGCAUCACUUUUUGCUGAAACAUUUAUGGCUGACAGAUGGGCAUGCGUUAGAUUAGCUAGUUGGUAGUGUAAGGGACUACCAAGGCAAUGAUCUAUAGGGGUUCUGAGAGGAAGAUCCCCCACACUGGUACUGAGAUACGGACCAGACUCCUACGGGAGGCAGCAGUAGGGAAUAUUGGGCAAUGCCCGCAAGGGUGACCCAGCCAUGCCGCGUGCAGGAAGAAGGCCUUCUGGGUUGUAAACUGCUUUUGGAAGGGAACAAAACGGCUCUGCGGAGCAACUUGAGUGUACCUUCAGAAUAAGCACCGGCUAACUCCGUGCCAGCAGCCGCGGUAAUACGGAGGGUGCAAGCGUUGUCCGGAUUUAUUGGGUUUAAAGGGUGCGUAGGCGGCUUGUUAAGUCAGGGGUGAAAGACUGCAGCUCAACUGUAGCAGUGCCUUUGAUACUGAUGAGCUUGAGUAUAGAUGAGGCCGGCGGAAUUUAUGGUGUAGCGGUGAAAUGCAUAGAUACCAUAAAGAACACCGAUUGCGAAGGCAGCCGGCUAAACUACAACUGACGCUGAGGCACGAAAGCGUGGGGAUCGAACAGGAUUAGAUACCCUCGUAGUCC